GGGAGGUAUCCCAUAAGGGAAGAGGAUGUGCUGUGGGAUGUGUGACUUGGAUGCCUUCAGUGAAACUCCACUGCGUGUCUGUGCACUGGGGUGCCAGGUCCCCUGUGGCACAGCGCCUGGGGCCCCCAUGGGGCCCCACUGGAAUCCCUUCAGUCUCUCCCCCUCCACACACACAUCGUGACAGUCUCAGGCGUGGGGAUGUGUGGCUUCAACCCUGAGCCCAGGUGCAGCCCGGAGCCAGAGCUUGCCAACACUGUCAACAUUGCUUAAACUCCACCCCAGCUUGGCUGGGCUCCAUGCAGGUGGGUUUGGAGGUUUUCACUCUGUUUGUUUUCUAGGUUGGUUUUAUUUAACAAAGGAGGUGGUUAAGCUACAGACCCAAAUCCUCACCUUCUCAGUUUCGAUUUUGAAAAUGAAAAAUGGACCCAAUUAGGUUGGCCCCAGGGGGCCUGGCUGAGUUUCUGGGUGCAUAAGAAGCAGUGAGGGGCUUCUGGCUGGGCGCCUGGAUUACCUGAUGGGAAGGGGGGCAAUUACACCCCCCGACUCAGAGGCGAGAGAACCAAAGGAGCCCCCCUACUCUUGGCAGCCGAUCCCACUCCAGGCUGCUCUGUCUGUCCUGGGCAUUUGUGCAUCAGGACAGGAGCAAAGGAGCCCUGCAGUCCAGGCCUGUUUGGUCCAGAAAAAGAAAGGCAGGAACGCGAGGACGCCAACACACCGAGUCGUGGGAGCAGGAGAGGCAACUGCAGGACCUCUUGGGGGAACUUUUUGCCACCUGGAAUGGAUUGCCAUGUCAGAAUGUUCUCCGGGAGAAGAAGGGUCCCCGGGGUUGGCAAGCUUCCCAGGAUGGCAGGCCCCGUGCUCGCAGGACUGUGGGAAGGUGAAUGCCUCGGAGGAGGGUAGUAUCACCCACGCAGCCUCGGCCCCAGCUCUACCGUGAGUCACCACCGAUUAGCUGAUGUGGGCGGGGAGCAAGGUGGGUGAAGGAUGGGCCCUCAGGUGGGGAGAGAAGAGGAUGCAAGGGGUGUGUUCGGGGUGAGAGAUGGAGGCAUGAAAAGCCCCCCCCAAGGUUGGCUGGGGUGCAGGUGGGGGACAUACAGGACCCCGGCUCUUCACAAGGUCAACUCCAUCCCACCCACCGGAGCACAGCAGCCAGCUCGCUGGGCCUCAGCCUUGGAGGCUGAAGCCACGGGGCUGUGGAGGUGUGUGGAGGUGACCUUCCUCACUCCAGGGGUCAGGGGACCCCCGUAACGAAACAGCCAUUGUUUACUGAGCCCUUAGGAUGCUCUAGGUGCCGGCCAAGCCCUUUGCACACGAGCUACCGAGUGCGCUUACUGUGUGCGGGGCUCUGUUCCGACACUUCAACUCUGUUCCCUCACGCUGUUCGUACUAGCCAGAGGUGGAGAGGGGCCCCAGAGUGGUUAAGUCACCUACGUCACCUGGGUUGGGACACCGGAGUCCACACUCGGGAACCCCCACUGCCGCUCUAGGGAUAGCGCUCCGCUACGGCUGCACUGCGGUAUGAUUAUUCCCAUUUUACACACGAAGAAACUGAGGCUCGGAGAGAUUCACGGAGCAGGGCCGAGCGCCCUCGGGGCCAAGCUCUGUUCUAGUCAAGCUCCCACCCUGGCCGCAGGGUUAUUAUCCUGGUUUCACAGGAAACAGGGGAGGGAGGGAUAAGUCAUUUGUCAGGAUUUGACUCAAGAAUCGAUAGGAGGCCUGAGUGGUUUCCAUAAUGGAUGGCCUCGGGGAGCCAUGGCUUUGACAUCCACAUUUCGGGGUGCAGCAGGUUCCCAGACCUCCCCGCACUCGCUAUCCCACUAUGGGGAGGUAGCUGGGGCCAGAAGUGUGAGAUGGGCAGGGGGCCAGGAGCAUUGCUCCCAACAGCUUCCUGCCCCCAGGAAACGCAGACGAUUAUCCCCGAGGGCCAGAGGAAGAGC
rnacentral:lncRNA from 12 species